AAUGAACGCUGGCGGUAGGCCUAACACAUGCAAGUCGAACGGCAGCACAGUAAGAGCUUGCUCUUACGGGUGGCGCGUGGCGGACUGGUUAGUAAUUCAUCGGAAUCUACUUUUUCGUGGGGUAUAACGUAGUGAAACUUACGCUAAUACCGCAUAUGACCUACGGGUGAAAGCAGGUGAUCUUCGCACCUUGCGCGAUUUAAUGACCCGAUGUCGGAUUAGCUAUUUGGCGGGUUAAAGGCCCACCAAGGCGACGAUCCGUAGCUGGUCUGAGAGGAUGAACAGCCACACUGGAACUGAGACACAGUACACACUCCUACGGGAGGCAGAAGUGGAGAAUAAUGGACAAUGGGAGAAAGCGUGAUCCAGCAAUACGGCGUGGGGGAAGAAGGCCUCAGGGUGGGAAAGUAAUGAUGUUGGGAAAGAAAAGAAGCAGGUUAAUAAGCCAAGGUUAUGACGGUACCGAAAGAAUAAGCACCGGCUAACUUCGUG
rnacentral:rRNA from 1 species